rnacentral:rRNA from 1 species
UACGUAGGUGGCAAGCGUUGUCCGGAUUUAUUGGGUUUAAAGGGUGCGUAGGCGGCUUUGUAAGUCAGUGGUGAAAUAUGGCAGCUCAACUGUCAAGGUGCCAUUGAUACUGCGGAGCUUGAGUACAGAUGAGGUAGGCGGAAUUGGCGGUGUAGCGGUGAAAUGCUUAGAUAUCGUCAAGAACACCUAUAGCGAAGGCAGCUUACUAGGCUGUAACUGACGCUGAGGCACGAAAGUGUGGGGAUCAAACAGG